CUCUUUUUUUCUUCUUUUCAUGGCAUUUGGUACUAUUAUCAAUCAUCAAUUUUGUCGAAAAACCAUGAAGAAAGAAGCCCCUAUUUUAUCAACAAAUCUCUCCCUUUUUUUAGCCACCGACAUCACCAUCCCUUGAAGGUGAGCCUUAAUAUGAGUACCUCUGCCUCCCACAAGCCUCCACGACAAAUCCACGAUUGCUGAUGAAUGAUGGAUGGCCAAAUAU
rnacentral:lncRNA from 1 species